rnacentral:rRNA from 1 species
CAGACGGCUCAGUAACACGUGGUCAAGCUAACCUAUGGACGUGGAUAACCUCGGGAAACUGAGAAUAAACCGCGAUGGAUCAUGAUGCCUGGAAUGGCUUAUGGUCGAAAUAGUUUACUGCCAUAGGAUGCGACUGCGGCCUAUCAGUUAGUUGGUGAGGUAAUGGCCCACCAAGACUAUUACAGGUACGGGCUCUGAGAGGAGAAGCCCGGAGAUGGGUACUGAGACACGGACCCAGGCCCUAUGGGGCGCAGCAGGCGAGAAACCUUAGCAAUGUGCGAAAGCACGACUGGGUUAGUCCGAGUGAUUCCUGCUAAAGGAAUCUUUUGCCGGUCCUAAAAGCACCGGUGAAUAAGGGGUGGGCAAGUCUGGUGUCAGCCGCCGCGGUAAUACCAGCUCCUCGAGUGGUCGGGACGAUUAUUGGGCCUAAAGCACCCGUAGCCGGUUCCGUAAGUCCUCUGUUAAAUCCAGUCGCUCAACGGCUGGUCUGCAGAGGAUACUGCAGGACUAGGAGGCGGGAGAGGCGGACGGUACUCCGCGUGUAGGGGUAAAAUCCUUUGAUCCGCGGAAGACCACCAGUGGCGAAGGCGGUCCGCCAGAACGCGCUCGACGGUGAGGGGUGAAAGCUGGGGGAGCGAACC